CGCGAAGAACCUUACCCAGGCUUGAACUGCAAAUGACAUCCUACGAGGGUAGGCUUCCGCAAGGACAUUUGUAGAGGUGCUGCAUGGCUGUCGUCAGCUCGUGUCGUGAGAUGUUGGGUUAAGUCCCGCAACGAGCGCAACCCUUGUCUUCUGUUGCCAUCAGGUUAAGCUGGGCACUCUGAAGAGACUGCCGGUGACAAACCGGAGGAAGGUGGGGAUGACGUCAAGUCAGCAUGGCCUUUAUGUCUGGGGCUACACACGUGCUACAAUGGCCGACACAAACCGUCGCGAGCCCGCGAGGGGGAGCUAAUCGGAUAAAGUCGGUCUCAGUUCGGAUUGUAGGCUGCAACUCGCCUGCAUGAAGUUGGAAUCGCUAGUAAUCGCGGAUCAGCACGCCGCGGUGAAUACGUUCCCGGGUCUUGUACACACCG
rnacentral:rRNA from 1 species